rnacentral:lncRNA from 1 species
CCGUGGACCACACACAAUUACUACACAAUUCCAGAGGCCCUUAGAGGGGACGGGCCUCCAGCAAAGGAUUCGUGAGUCAUCAGCUAAUGAGGAUCGUAAGGACAGCAAUCGCUUUUACUCUAAUUUGCGGAGGGCCGUACCUGCGAGAAGGACCCGGCUGGCACUUGCUCAUUCAAACUUCACAGCAACCGAAGGAAUUCGGUACCACGGAGGGACCCAUCUUACAGCCGAGAAAACCGAGGCUUAGAGAUCAUCCACACCCAGUGAGUGCAGAAGCCAGAUGGAUCCUCAGCUCCUAGGCGGUCCUGCCUCCAGAUAAAGCAGUUCUUCAUCUGGAGAUUAAAAGAUCUGGAGGCUGGAAGCCCAAGAUCAAGGCGCCGGCAGGUUCCACGGCUGCACAGGAAUUAUUCAAGGCUGGUUUCGGUUCUCUUCUGGCGACGACCGCAUCUUCGUACUCAAGGCACAGAUUACGGGUCAGCUCAAUUCGCCAGCGGCCGGAGGCUGCCUCCAAGCACCGAGCAGGACGGGAGGGAUGCUCUGCAAGCCGCGUCCGGCUGGAGGCGGCGGAGGCCUGAACGGGUCAUGGUCCCCGAAGUCACUAGGGACAGGGGACGUGGAUGGAAUAUAAGAGGGGAGAUCGACAGUCAAUCCCACCUCUGUCCCUUUCCGCCUGUGACCCCGGUCAGCUCAGUCUUCUCAUCUGUGACAUGGGCGUUGACACGAGUGUUCAGCAUGGGAACCCACCCCCGUCGUCUUCCACUGGUGCUGUCACCCGCGGCCUGGCUGAGCCGGGCACAGUGGGAGCCUCUGCAGGGCCCAGGGAAGGGGCAUGGCGGUGCCGAAGGACACGAGAAAUGGAAAGAGAGGGUUCAGCCACUCUGGCCUCCCAGGGGCGGCGAUGUGAGAACACGGCCCCAAGAUCCUUUGACGCUCCUCCUGUGGAAAGGUGGGGUUCCCGUUCCCUCCCCUUGAUGCUGGCCUCCAUGGCAGAAGGUGACGGAGUCGACAGUCCUCCCAGAACUGCCAGCUCCUGCUUUUUGCCUCUUGGGUGCUCCCUCUUGGAACCCAGCCGCCAUGCUGCGAGGAAGCCCAGAGGUCCCGAGGACAGGCCCGCGUGGAAGGCCCGGUUGUGCGUGUGUGUGUGUGUGUGUGAGCUCCUCAGAAAAGGGCAUCCAGCCCCAGUAGGUGCCCCAGCAGACGCCACGUGGAGCGGGGGUGAGCUGACCCUGCCAAGAUCGGCCCAAAUUGCAGAUUCACAAGCAAAUAAAUAAUUGUCGUCAUUGUGAGCCAGGAGCAUUGGGGUGGUGUGUUACACGGCAAUAGGUGACUAAAACGCAAGGUUCAGCUGAAAAGAGUUUCUGAGAACAUGCUUCAGGGACCUCCCAUGGGAGGUCCAGCAGUCACAC